AACGCUAGCUACAGGCUUAACACAUGCAAGUCGAGGGGCAGCACAGGGUAGCAAUACUUGGGUGGCGACCGGCGCACGGGUGAGUAACGCGUAUGCAACUUACCUAUCAGAGGGGGAUAGCCCGGCGAAAGUCGGAUUAAUACCCCAUGAAACAGGGGUCCCGCAUGGGAAUAUUUGUUAAAGAUUCAUCGCUGAUAGAUAGGCAUGCGUUCCAUUAGGCAGUUGGCGGGGUAACGGCCCACCAAACCGACGAUGGAUAGGGGUUCUGAGAGGAAGGUCCCCCACAUUGGUACUGAGACACGGACCAAACUCCUACGGGAGGCAGCAGUGAGGAAUAUUGGUCAAUGGCCGAGAGGCUGAACCAGCCAAGUCGCGUGAAGGAAGAAGGAUCUAUGGUUUGUAAACUUCUUUUAUAGGGGAAUAAAGUGGAGGACGUGUCCUUUUUUGUAUGUACCCUAUGAAUAAGCAUCGGCUAACUCCGUGCCAGCAGCCGCGGUAAUACGGAGGAUGCGAGCGUUAUCCGGAUUUAUUGGGUUUAAAGGGUGCGUAGGUGGUGAUUUAAGUCAGCGGUGAAAGUUUGUGGCUCAACCAUAAAAUUGCCGUUGAAACUGGGUUACUUGAGUGUGUUUGAGGUAGGCGGAAUGCGUGGUGUAGCGGUGAAAUGCAUAGAUAUCACGCAGAACUCCGAUUGCGAAGGCAGCUUACUAAACCAUAACUGACACUGAAGCACGAAAGCGUGGGGAUCAAACAGGAUUAGAUACCCUGGUAGUCCACGCAGUAAACGAUGAUUACUAGGAGUUUGCGAUACAAUGUAAGCUCUACAGCGAAAGCGUUAAGUAAUCCACCUGGGGAGUACGCCGGCAACGGUGAAACCCAAAGGAAUUGACGGGGGCCCGCACAAGCGGAGGAACAUGUGGUUUAAUUCGAUGAUACGCGAGGAACCUUACCCGGGUUUGAACGUAGUCUGACCGGAGUGGAAACACUUUUUCUAGCAAUAGCAGAUUACGAGGUGCUGCAUGGUUGUCGUCAGCUCGUGCCGUGAGGUGUCGGCUUAAGUGC
rnacentral:rRNA from 1 species